AGUGAACGCUGGCGGUAGGCCUAACACAUGCAAGUCGAACGGCAGCACAGUAAGAGCUUGCUCUUACGGGUGGCGAGUGGCGGACGGGUGAGGAAUACAUCGGAAUCUACUUUUUCGUGGGGGAUAACGUAGGGAAACUUACGCUAAUACCGCAUACGACCUACGGGUGAAAGCAGGGGAUCUUCGGACCUUGCGCGAUUGAAUGAGCCGAUGUCGGAUUAGCUAGUUGGCGGGGUAAAGGCCCACCAAGGCGACGAUCCGUAGCUGGUCUGAGAGGAUGAUCAGCCACACUGGAACUGAGACACGGUCCAGACUCCUACGGGAGGCAGCAGCGGGGAAUAUUGGACAAUGGGCGCAAGCCUGAUCCAGCCAUACCGCGUGGGUGAAGAAGGCCUUCGGGUUGUAAAGCCCUUUUGUUGGGAAAGAAAAGCAGCAGGUUAAUACCCCGCUGUUCUGACGGUACCCAAAGAAUAAGCGCCGGCUAACUUCGUG
rnacentral:rRNA from 1 species